AGAGUCAGAAAGUGUAUUCUGUUACAUUACUAUCCGUUCACCCUUAUAUAAUCUCCUUGGGGCUGUCCCUGUUCAUUUAGGAGCAGGAGCCUGAUUUCCAAGCUGUUACUUUCCCUGCCUCCAGUACGCACCUCGCCCCGUGUCCAGACUACAGGUCCACAUUAAGAGUUCUAUUUCCUCUGCUUCCACUUCAUUCUGAUCGUCCGCAGCUUCUGCCUAACUCAGCGGGGCUUCAACCCACUGCUGGGCUACCAGACCCUUUUCCUGCGGAGGUUCCAGCCCGGCGCACGGCUCUUCAUUCCCUGGGAAGCAGGUUUCUCCCCUCCUCCAGUAUAAUCCCACGGGGCAUAAUUCACGUUGUCCGGGACCAGACUGCCCAUACUUGUGCCGUGCCCCGCCCCCCUCCUCCUCGGACAGUGACACACAACGGGAUCCAGUGUCUCCAGGGGCUGGAUCUGGUAAUGGCAGACUGCUUAUUUCUAGCAUUACCAAUGUUGCCUUACAUAGCUCCCAUGAACUACUGUGGCUUAGGUGUCUUCACUUCUCUGAAGUACAGAGUCCAGUUGAUGGUGCAUCCCAGAAUUGUCAUCCAAAUGAUGUUCUCUAGGAAAGGUCAGAUACAUUCCAGAGAUGGAGGAGCCAAGGAAGGAGGAAAAGCAGCCUGAGAACAAAGGGCCUCAGACCACAGAAGGGCAGACACAAGAGUGCCUCAUAACUCUCAUCAGGCACAGUACAUGCUAUCAUUUAAGGAAAACCCCACAAAGGUGAAGUGACUUUGGAGCUAUUGAGGAUUCAAAAAUUAACAGGUUUAUGAGCAGCCACAGCACCUGUAAGUACCAUACCCUAGUUUCACUAAUCUGUUCAUUGUCUUCACAUACGUCAAAAUUGCCACAUACAGGCAAUUGACCCAUUUAAGCAGAAGCCACGGGAAACAGAAAUUAUGUAUGAGGGC
rnacentral:lncRNA from 1 species